rnacentral:misc_RNA from 1 species
UGGUUCUGGCAUCGAUGAAGAACGCAGCGAAAUGCGAUAAGUAAUGCGAAUUGCAGAAUUCCAGUGAGUCAUCGAAUCUUUGAACGCACAUUGCGCCCUCUUUCCAGAGGGCAUGCCUGUUCGAGUGUCAUUAUAGCUAUAUCAAGCCGCACAUUAUGUGAGCUUGAGUGUUGGAGGCCUGGUUUAGUGCGUUUAUCGACAGACCCCUCUCAAACGCAACGGCCGGCGUGAGUGAUUUCCCGGGACACCGAGCUUGUUUUGCCGAGCAUGUGCCGGACAUGUGAUAGUCGCUGAGACGCCCGUGCCUUUGUCCUCUUCGACUGGAGAGGUUUCCAGAGUUUGACCUCGGAUCAGGCAGGAAUACCCGCUGA